CUGAGGAAGUGGAGUGUCCCUGGCUGCCUUGCUGAGGCUGGUCUAUGUGCCCCUGGGGCCCUUUAGGCCGGGACGUUUUGACUCCAUUCCUCCUAAAAAGAACCAGCCCAAACCUCCCGGAUUGAAGUCUCCAAUGAUUCAUUCAACAAACUGUGACAGAAACAAUUUACUUCAGAGAAACCUUGCUCCCUGGAGAAUCUGUCGCUCUGUGUCAUCCUCAGGGACAAGAAAAUUCAAGAACAAACCAGCAUGAAUGUGGGCAAAGAGGUGACAUGGGUGCCUCCCACAGAUCCUACCUCAAACCCUGACAACAUCCUCUGCUGAAGAUCCCACCCUCAGCUCUCAGUCCACCAUGACACUCUCCUACCUUGAAUGUGAACAACACCACGUCAUAGACUGGGGUUCAGAGCUAAUAAAGAGCCCUGGCUCGCACCUCUCUCUCUCUUUCCUGCGCGGCCAGCUGCCUCAAGCUCCUGCCACCAUGGUGGCCUUCAUCCUCCAACUGUGAGCCAAAGAGGUGAGAGAAGCGACUAUACAACCAGUCUCCUGUGAAGAGCUGGGUGGGGCAGAGGACCACAGGAGCUUCCAAAGCCCUGGGCAGAACACAACUGUGCUACACAGUGGCCCGAUGCUCACCGAUGACCUGCUCACUGGCACACGGUGUGUUCCUGGUCCCCUCUUAGAUCUCCUUUCCUGCUCUACUUUCUCUCACGGCCCCAAAGAUGACAUCCUGUGUCCCUGCCCCGAUAG
ensembl:lincRNA